AUGGCCAUGUGGCCUUCUUGGGUGAAGACGCGCGCUUCCAGGUCCAAAUCCUCCCCAUCCACCGCGCUCGUCGCCGCUGCCGCCACCACCCGGCGAUUCUCCAUCGCCUCCCACUCCCCCUCCCUCAAGGACAUCCCGUCGCUGGUCCGCCCGGAGCAACCCCGCCCGCCGCGCGUCUUCCACCGCCUCCGCGUCGCGGCCUCCGCCCUCCGCCUCCUCCGCGCCCUCAAGUCGGCCUCGGCGCACACCACCGCCCGGGAGCCAGAGGUGCACGUGGUGCUCUACUCCACCUCCCUCCGCGUCGUCCGCCGCACCUACGAGGACUGCUACACCGUGCGCUUCAUCCUGCGGGGGAUCGGCGCCACCGUCGACGAGCGCGACCUGGCCGUGGACACCGCCUUCGGCGCGGAGUUCGCCGCGCUCCUGCCGCCCCGCCUGGGCCUGGCCCUCCCGCAGGUCUUCGUGGACGGCCGCCACCUCGGGGGCGUCGAGGAGGUCCAGCGCCUCCACGAGUGCGGCGAGCUCAACCGCAUCGUCGUGGCCCCGGUAUCCCCCGGCCCGGCCCAUCCCCCCUGCGGCCGCUGCGGCGACGAGCGCCACGUGCCCUGCGGCAGCUGCGACGGGAGCCGGAAGAAGCAGAGCGACGACGGGAGCCGCAAGAAGCAGAGCGACGAGGACGGCGUCCUCACCUGCGCCGCCUGCAACGCGAGCGGCCUCGUCCGGUGCCCGGACUGCCUCUUCCCGGCGGCCGCCUGA
rnacentral:rRNA from 1 species